GGAAGGUCCGGGCGUUAUCCGGAUUUAUUGGGUUUAAAGGGAGCGUAGACGGGUCGUUAAGUCAGCUGUGAAAGUUUGGGGCUCAACCUUAAAAUUGCAGUUGAUACUGGCGUCCUUGAGUACGGUUGAGGCAGGCGGAAUUCGUGGUGUAGCGGUGAAAUGCUUAGAUAUCACGAAGAACCCCGAUUGCGAAGGCAGCCUGCUAAACCGCCACUGACGUUGAGGCUCGAAAGUGUGGGUAUCAAACAGGAUUAGAUACCCUGGUAGUCCGCACGGUAAACGAUGGAUGCCCGCUGUUGGUCUGAACAGGUCAGCGGCCAAGCGAAAGCAUUAAGCAUCCCACCUGGGGAGU
rnacentral:rRNA from 1 species